rnacentral:rRNA from 1 species
UGGGGAAUUUUGGACAAUGGGCGCAAGCCUGAUCCAGCCAUGCCGCGUGCAGGAUGAAGGCCUUCGGGUUGUAAACCGCUUUUGUCAGGGAAGAAAUCCUUUGAGCUAAUACCUCGGGGGGAUGACGGUACCUGAAGAAUAAGCACCGGCUAACUACGUGCCAGCAGCCGCGGUAAUACGUAGGGUGCAAGCGCUAAUCGGAAUUACUGGGCGUAAAGCGUGCGCAGGCGGUGAUGUAAGACAGGUGUGAAAUCCCCGGGCUUAACCUGGGAACUGCCUUUGUGACUGCAUAGCUAGAGUACGGUAGAGGGGGAUGGAAUUCCGCGUGUAGCAGUGAAAUGCGUAGAUAUGCGGAGGAACACCGAUGGCGAAGGCAAUCCCCUGGACCUGUACUGACGCUCAUGCACGAAAGCGUGGGGAGCAAACA